rnacentral:rRNA from 1 species
AGAGUUUGAUCCUGGCUCAGGACGAACGCUGGCGGCGUGCUUAACACAUGCAAGUCGAACGGAAAGGCCCUUUCGGGGGUGCUCGAGUGGCGAACGGGUGAGUAACACGUGGGUAAUCUGCCCUUGACAUCGGGAUAGCCCGGGGAAACCCGGAUUAAUACCGAAUAGCCUCCGAAGCCCUCGGGCGUCGGAGAAAAGGUAGCUUCGGCCUCUGGUCAAGGAUGAGCCCGCGGCGGAUUAGCUUGUUGGCGGGGUAACGGCCCACCAAGGCGACGAUCCGUAGCUGGUCUGAGAGGACGAUCAGCCACACUGGGACUGAGACACGGCCCAGACUCCUACGGGAGGCAGCAGUGGGGAAUCUUGCGCAAAUGCGGGAAACCGUGACGCAGCGACGCCGCGUGGGGGAAGAAGGCCUUCGGGUUGUAAACCUCUUUCAGGAGGGACGAAGCUACUCGGGUUAAUAGCCCAGAGGGUGACGGUACCUCCAGAAGAAGCCCCGGCUAACUACGUGCCAGCCGCCGCGGUAAUAC